rnacentral:rRNA from 1 species
CAUAGUGAUCCGGUGGUUCCGUAUGGAAGGGCCAUCGCUCAAAGGAUAAAAAGCGUACGCCGGGGAUAACAGGCUGAUCUCGCCCAAGAGCUCAUAUCGACGGCGAGGUUUGGCACCUCGAUGUCGGCUCAUCACAUCCUGGGGCUGGAGAAGGUCCCCAGGGUCCGGCUGUUCGCCGGUUAAAGGAGUACGUGAGCUGGGUUCAGAACGUCGCAAGACAGUUCGGUCCCUAUCUGUUGUGGGCGUUAGAGAUUUGAGGGGACCUGACUCUGGUAAGAGAGGACCGUGUUGGACGAACCUCUAGUACUCUGUUGUGGCGCCAGCUGCAUCGCAGGGUAGCUAUGUGCGGAAUGGAUAAGCGCUGAAAGCAUCUAAGCGCGAAGCCAGCUCCGAGAUGAGUACUCCUUGAGGGCCGUGGAAGAUGACCACGUUGAUAGGCUGCAGGUGUAAAGUCAGUAAUGGCAAAGCCGAGCAGUACUAAUUACCCGUAAGCUUUCAUUUU